rnacentral:rRNA from 1 species
CCUACGGGUGGCAGCAGUGAGGAAUAUUGGUCAAUGGCCGAGAGGCUGAACCAGCCAAGUCGCGUGAGGGAUGACGGCCCUACGGGUUGUAAACCUCUUUUGUCGGGGAGCAAAGAGAGUCACGUGUGGCUCAUUGAGAGUACCCGAAGAAAAAGCAUCGGCUAACUCCGUGCCAGAAGCCGCGGUAAUACGGAGGAUGCGCGCGUUAUCCGGCUUUAUUGGGGUUAAAGGGGGCGCAGGCCGAGGUGCAAGUCUGUGGUCAAAUUGCGGGGCUCAACCCCGUACUGCCGUUGAAACUGCAUCCCUUGAGUGCGCGAGACGGAUGCGGAAUGCGUGGUGUAGCGGUGAAAUGUAUAGAUAUCACGCAGAACUCCGAUUGCGAAGGCAGCAUACCGGCGCGCAACUGACGCUCAUGCACGAAAGCGUGGGUAUCGAACAGGAUUAGAUACCCGAGUAGUC